AAUCAACGCUGGCGGCGUGCCUCAGACAUGCAAGUCGAACGCGAAAGGUUCCUUCGGGAACCGAGUAGAGUGGCGCACGGGUGAGUAACACGUAGGUAAUUUGCCUUUGGGUGGGGAAUAACAGCCGGAAACGGCUGCUAAUACCGCAUAAUGCAGCGGCUCGACAUCGAGACAGUUGUUAAAGCGGGGGAUCGCAAGACCUCGCGCCUAAAGAGAAGCCUGCGGCAGAUUAGCUAGUUGGUAGGGUAAUGGCCUACCAAGGCGACGAUCUGUAACCGGCCUGAGAGGGCGGUCGGUCACACUGACACUGACAUACGGGUCAGACUCCUACGGGAGGCAGCAGUCGGGAAUUUUGGGCAAUGGGGGAAACCCUGACCCAGCAACGCCGCGUGAAGGAUGAAGUAUUUCGGUAUGUAAACUUCGGAAGAAUGGGAAGAAUCAAUGACGGUACCAUUUAUAAAGGUCCGGCUAACUACGUGCCAGCCGCCGCAGUAAU
rnacentral:rRNA from 1 species